UGAGGAAUAUUGGUCAAUGGUCGAGAGACUGAACCAGCCAAGUCGCGUGAAGGAUAACUGCCCUAUGGGUUGUAAACUUCUUUUAUACGGGAAUAACGGGCGAUACGAGUAUUGCAUUGAAUGUACCGUAAGAAUAAGCAUCGGCUAACUCCGUGCCAGCAGCCGCGGUAAUACGGAGGAUGCGAGCGUUAUCCGGAUUUAUUGGGUUUAAAGGGUGCGUAGGUUGUUCGGUAAGUCAGCGGUGAAACCUGAGCGCUCAACGUUCAGCCUGCCGUUGAAACUGCCGGGCUUGAGUUCAGUGGCGGCAGGCGGAAUUCGUGGUGUAGCGGUGAAAUGCAUAGAUAUCACGAGGAACUCCGAUUGCGAAGGCAGCUUGCCAUACUGCGACUGACACUGAAGCACGAAGGCGUGGGUAUCAAACAGG
rnacentral:rRNA from 1 species